CCAGACUCCUACGGGAGGCAGCAGUGGGGAAUAUUGGGCAAUGGGCGCAAGCCUGACCCAGCAAUGCCGCGUGAAGGAAGAAGGCCCUCGGGUUGUAAACUUCUUUUAUCAGGGACGAAGGAUGUGACGGUACCUGAUGAAUAAGCUCCGGCUAACUACGUGCCAGCAGCCGCGGUAAUACGUAGGGAGCAAGCGUUAUCCGGAUUUACUGGGUGUAAAGGGCGCGUAGGCGGGAUGGCAAGUCAGAUGUGAAAUCCGGGGGCUCAACCCCUGAACUGCAUUUGAAACUGUUGGUCUUGAGUAUCGGAGAGGCAGGCGGAAUUCCUAGUGUAGCGGUGAAAUGCGUAGAUAUUAGGAGGAACACCAGUGGCGAAGGCGGCCUGCUGGACGAUGACUGACGUUGAGGCUCGAAAGCGUGGGGAGCAAACAGGAUUAGAUACCCCUGUA
rnacentral:rRNA from 1 species